CUGCAAUGAUGAUGUUUCUUAGGACACCUUUGGAUUAGCUAUGAAAAUAAAACUCAAUACUGAGCAGC
rnacentral:snoRNA from 1 species